GACGAACGCUGGCGGCGUGCUUAACACAUGCAAGUCGAGCGGAAAGGCCACUUCGGUGGUACUCGAGCGGCGAACGGGUGAGUAACACGUGAGUAAUCUGCCCCUGGCUUUGGGAUAGCCACCGGAAACGGUGAUUAAUACCGGAUACGACCACUUCUCGCAUGGGAUGGUGGUGGAAAGUUUUUUCGGCCAGGGAUGUGCUCGCGGCCUAUCAGCUUGAUGGUGAGGUAAUGGCUCACCAUGGCUUCGACGGGGAGCCAGCCUGAGAGGGUGACCGGUCACACUGGGACUGAGACACGGCCCAGACUCCUACGGGAGGCAGCAGUGGGGAAUAUUGGACAAUGGGCGGAAGCCUGAUCCAGCAACGCCGCGUGAGGGAUGACGGCCUUCGGGUUGUAAACCUCUUUCAGCAGGGACGAAGCGCAAGUGACGGUACCUGCAGAAGAAGCACCGGCCAACUACGUGCCAGCCGCCGCAGUAA
rnacentral:rRNA from 1 species